CACGCAGCGAGAUGAGUGAUGCUGAAGUUCUUCGUGGAACUCUUUGUGAAAGCGUACAGUGUCGUGUGGUGUGGUUGUCAGUAAUCAACAUGCGCUUGUGUCACAUCCUCUAAAAAUGGAAUUGCAUGUUGAGAUUCAGGUUUCGAAAAAAACUCAACACAUGGAUCAUCUUUUUCUUCCCCCUGAAUGUAAACGUAUCAUUACAGCACAGGACCGAUCGAGUCUUUUUUUUUUUACCUCUGAUGUGGAGAUAUGUAAUCAAUCCAGAGAUGACGAAUUGGCCCGUCGGCAACCAAAAGCCGGACAAAGAGCAGACGCUUUCCCAGUUCGACUCCAAGGGAAAAGGAGCGUGAGGUAAUGGGAGCAUCAAAGAGGAGCAACGAUAAGAGUGCACACAGCGACCUUGGAAAAACACCUGGAGUGUGUCUGAGAGAGGAAGAGUGUGAGAAACCGGGAGGCCGGGCUGAUCACUGCGCUGUAUAAUUACAAGGCAGCAAACGGAGACGCAUCACAGCCUCGCUUGGCUGGAGCCGACCCGAUAGAGACCCCUCGGCCCACCUGGGAGAGAUCAGCCCUCUGAUCUGCAGACGGCGGAGAACCUAAUUCAUUGGAAACUGUUCCACGGAGGACAAAUUACAAGGCGGCCCUCUCAUCCCAAAGGGCGUUGGAGGUUCUCCACGCGCGGCAAAAAAAAACCUGCAGCAGGUGAAGUUACAGCCACAGAAAGACGAGACUCACGCGCGGCGCGUUCGUCUUCGGUCGCCGUUGAUUCCCCUCGACUUGGAUUAUUCAUCAACUGGGUUGUUUUCAACGAGGAGGUCCAUUUACUCACCUCGGGCUGCACGCUCAGGAAGUGAAUAAUUAAGCAUCAGGACUCGACGACGUAACAACUCGCCUUUGGAAUGGAGUUUAACGUUGUUUUAAUCUGGAGGUAUUUUGUCCUUAUUAUGUUGUGUAAUCAAGCAUCGGGGGGGAUUCAGAUGGGAGCACUUGUCAUUUAUUAGAUUGAAGGCCGACCUCCUCGAGAUUAACCAUCUAGUUGGCAAACUGUUUGACCUGCAAUACACUCGUGGUCACAGCAGUAAAUCAUAUCCUAAAGCCUAAAAUCAUAUCAAAGUUCACAUAUAUAUGAAUGUAGAUAUGUGCUCUCUCUCUGUUGAACUGAAGGUGUACAAUAAAGUUGGCAAAAAGAAAAAAUGGACCCAUCGACUUGAGAGAACAAAGGAAAACGUUUAUUCCACAGAGGCAUCCUGCAGGCAUCGUGAUGACUAAUUAAUAGAUUAUAGAGCGUGUGAAAUGCAUCCUGGUAAUUACCCGAUGACUUAUAGGACCAUCUGUUGCCACCCAGACUCCAAACUCGCAUGUCACACUAAUGAAAUGUAUUUAAUUGGUUUACAGUAAACGCUCCCGGCGUGGUGAAAGACGCAUUAAAUGAUGCUUUGAAAAGAAAUGUCUUCUUUUCCCCAUAAAAAACAAUAAUAAUAAACCACUCACUGAAGUAUACUCAACUCUUUUAAUUCAGUAGAAGCAGCAAUACAGCAUAAAACUAUGUAUUCAUAAGUCCUGCAUUCAUUUUUUCUUUGAGUAUGAAACUAUAGCAAAAGUACUCAUUAUGCGUAAUAAUGUAUAUUACUGGAUUAUGAUUAUUUAAAUGGUGUACGUCACUUUAAUGUUGC